AUUGAACGCUGGCGGCAGGCCUAACACAUGCAAGUCGAGCGAGCUGCGCACGGGUGUGUAAUGUAUGGGGAUCUGCCCGAUAGAGGGGGAUAACUACUGGAAACUGUAGAUAAUACCGCAUCCUAUCGGAUGAACCCAUAUGUGAUUAGCUAGUAGGGUGGGUAAAGGCUCACGUAGGCGACGAUCUCUAGCGGGUCUGAGAGGAUGAGCAGACACAAUGGAACUGAGACACGGCCCAGACUCCUACGGGAGGCAGCAGUGGGGAAGAUUGCACAAUGGGCGCAAGCCUGAUGCAGCCAUGCCGCGUGUAUGAAGAAGGCCUUCGGGUUGUAAAGUACUUUCAGCGGGGAGGCGUUACCCGCAGAAGAAGCACCGGCUAACUCCGUGCCAGCAGCCGCGGUAAUAC
rnacentral:rRNA from 1 species